rnacentral:rRNA from 1 species
UACAGGUGGUGCAUGGCUGUCGUCAGCUCGUGUCGUGAGAUGUUGGGUUAAGUCCCGCAACGAGCGCAACCCUUGUUCUGUGUUGCCAGCAUGCCCUUCGGGGUGAUGGGGACUCACAGGAGACUGCCGGGGUCAACUCGGAGGAAGGUGGGGACGACGUCAAGUCAUCAUGCCCCUUAUGUCUUGGGCUGCACACGUGCUACAAUGGCCGGUACAAUGAGCUGCGAAGCCGUGAGGUGGAGCGAAUCUCAAAAAGCCGGUCUCAGUUCGGAUUGGGGUCUGCAACUCGACCCCAUGAAGUUGGAGUUGCUAGUAAUCGCAGAUCAGCAUUGCUGCGGUGAAUACGUUCCCGGGUCUUGUACACACC